rnacentral:rRNA from 1 species
AUUGAACGCUGGCGGCAGGCCUAACACAUGCAAGUCGAGCGAGCGGCGGACGGGUGCGUAAUGUCUGGGAAACUGCCGGAUGGAGGGGGAUAACUACUGGAAACGGUAGCUAAUAACGCAUACCAUCAGAUGUGCCCAGAGGGGAUUAGCUGGUAGGUGGGGUAAUGGCUCACCUAGGCGACGAGCCCUAGCUGGUCUGAGAGGAUGACCAGCCACACUGGAACUGAGACACGGCCCAGACUCCUACGGGAGGCAGCAGGGGGGAAUAUUGCACAAUGGGCGAAAGCCUGAUGCAGCCAUGCCGCGGGUGUGAAGAAGGCCUUCGGGUUGUAAAGCACUUUCAGCGGGGAGGCGUUACCCACAGAAGAAGCACCGGCUAACUCCGUGCCAGCAGCCGCGGUAAUAC